UAACUUCCAUUCCCCUCUGGGUGCUGAGGACUGACUGGCCUGAGAAAUGUCCCCAUGAGGACAUUCAUCAUUCAACCUUGAAAGACAAACAAAUUUUGGCAUUUCAGUGUUUCCAAUACACUUCUUUCUACAGAAGGGGUAAAAGGGAACUGUGAGAGACGUAGACAGUCUAUCCUCGAGCAACUUUCCAGGCAGUAGAGGCUGGAUUACAGAAGAAUUCCUUAGAACACCUGGGCAAAUUCUGAAUUUACUGAUGCUCAGCAAAAAUCCCUGCCCCAAAUGGUCUGACUUGCCCACAGGGCCCCAAUUCUGGGGCCUCAAGGAGUGCCACACAGAUUAGAGGGGAAGCUAACCCAAGCCUCUUUGACACAGGAACCAUCUUCCUCAGAUUGCCUUCAUUCCAGAUCAAAAGUUUCAUCUUGAGGAUGGGAACGUGCUGGCAUGUCAGGCAGGGCUAGAUCCUGCGGGCUCAGCUCCUAGGAUGGAAACACAAGCCUUGCCCUUGGGAACCCGAUUUCAUCUCCAUGGAAGGUUCUCUUGACAUGGAGCAGGAGGUCUGCCCACCAGCCAAUCACACCAGCAAGGACAGCAGCUUUGCCUGUUCUGUUUUGUUUUCACAGAAGAGUACAUUUCACAGAACAGUAGCACCAGUCUUUGUGAACUGUUUCUCCACAUUUUGAAAACCACAGCCAUCUUUCUGCCUGGCCCGCAUUUGUUGAAAACUUUAAUGGGUGGCCAGCAUGGACGUAAAUUACCCUGUCUCUAAUCCAUUUUCAUCAUCAAAUCCAACAAUGACUCAUUAUGGGUUGAAACGUUUAUUCAGAACUGCUGAAAAAGUACAGCUAGUUGGACAGCUAGAGAGCCUUUUUCGUUUCAGUGGGAAAUAAACACUGAAUUCUGAUGGUAACAGGCUACGUCCUGCCUUGAAAACAGGCAUCACACACGUGUAAUUUCAGGAAAACCUGAAGGCCUUAUUCAGGUUAAAGUGAGCCAGAAAUGUAACAGCUCAGAGGUGUGUGCAAUUUUAGAUUCAGUGAGGGUUCUCAUUAUAAGGUAAAAAUAGAAAUACGUAGAAAAUAUUAUUGUGUUGUUCUGAGGUAAAGCGAAGAACAAGACUGUGUGACUUCAGUUUCUUCUGGAAUCCUUUUGAGAGCUAGAUGUUUGUGAAGUCCUAAGUAGAAAAAUGAUGAAUGAAGAUAAAUGAUUUGUGAAAUUGUACACCAUGUUGAAAAAUAAACAUUUUGCAAAAGAAAAGAAAAAUGGAAAAAAAACAAGAAAAACUUCUGGGAAAGAAAGAAGUUGGAGUUGGAGUCCACAGAUGGAAAAUAGCUUCACCUGUCUUCCCUAUGCCCUCAACCACAACAGUGAAAGUAAACGAACUGUGCUGCAGAUAUUAGAAUUAUUUUAGAGCCUUCAUAUUGUAUUUUCAUCCCUCAAAAAUGAUCAUUUUCCUCUUUCCCUUUUAGAAUAAGUAAGAGUGGGAUGCCUGAGUGGCUCAGUUGAUUGAGCGUCUGACUUCGACUGAAGUCAUGAUCUCCCAGCUUGUGGUUUCCAGCCCCACAUGGGGCUCUGUGCUGACAGCUCAGAGCCUGGAACCUGCUUCGGAUUCUAUGUCUCCCCCUCUCUCUCCCUCCCCUGCUCACACUCUGUCUCUCUUCCAAAAUAAAAAUAAAGACUUUUAAAAAAAAA